rnacentral:rRNA from 1 species
UACGUAGGCGGCAAGCGUUGUUCGGAUUUACUGGGCGUAAAGGGCGCGUAGGCGGCGCGUAAAGUCGGACAUGAAAUCAUUAGGCUUAACCUGAUGGCUGUGCCCGAUACUUACGUGCUUGGAGUGCGGGAGAGGCAAUCGGAAUUCUCGGUGUAGCGGUGAAAUGCGUAGAUAUCGAGAGGAACUCAGGUGACGAAGGUGGGUUGCUGGACCGACACUGACGCUGAGGCGCGAAAGCUAGGGGAGCAAACGGG